CGGCGUGCUUAACACAUGCAAGUCUGCGAGAAAGUUAUAGCAAUAUAGCGAGUAAAGCGGCGAAAGGGUGCGUAACGCGUAAGCAACUUGCCCAUAGGAUGGGGAUAACGUCGAGAAAUCGGCGCUAAUACCCAAUAAUGCAGCGGCAUCGCAUGAUGAUGUUGUUAAAGGUCGCUUCGGUGGCGCCUAUGGAUGGGCUUGCGUCUGAUUAGUUAGUUGGCGAGGUAACGGCUCACCAAGACGACGAUCAGUAGCUGGUCUGAGAGGAUGAUCAGCCACACUGGAACUGAGACACGGUCCAGACUCCUACGGGAGGCAGCAGUGAGGAAUAUUGGGCAAUGCCCGCAAGGGUGACCCAGCAACGCCGCGUGGAGGAUGACAGCCGUAAGGUUGUAAACUCCUGUUCGGGGGGACGAAUAACCGUCGUUUGCAAAGGCGACGGCUUGACGGUACCCUCAGAGAAAGCCCCGGCUAACUACGUGCCAGCAGCCGCGGUAAUACGUAGGGGGCAAACGUUGUCCGGAUUUACUGGGUGUAAAGGGCGCGCAGGCCGGUCGGUCAGUCAGAGGUGAAAGCCCACAGCUUAACUGUGGAACUGCCUUUGAUACUGCCGAUCUUGAGUGCGGGAGAGAGAAGCGGAAUUCCAGGUGUAGUGGUGAAAUACGUAGAUAUCUGGAAGAACACCGGUUGCGAAGGCGGCUUCUUGGACCGACACUGACGCUGAGGCGCGAAAGCGUGGGUAGCGAACAGGAUUAGAUACCCUGGUAGUCCACGCUGUAAACGAUGAAUGUUAGAUGUCGGGGGAUUUUUCCUUCGGCGUCAAAGUUAACGCAUUAAACAUUCCACCUGGGAAGUACGAUCGCAAGGUUGAAACUCAAAGGAAUUGACGGGGGCCCGCACAAGCAGUGGAGCAUGUGGUUUAAUUCGAUGCAACGCGAAGAACCUUACCUAGGCUUGAAAUGUGUUCGAUCGGUCGUGAAAGCGACCUUCCUUCGGGCGGACACACAGGUGCUGCAUGGCUGUCGUCAGCUCGUGCCGCGAGGUGUUGGGUUAAGUCCCGCAACGAGCGCAACCCCUACCAUUAGU
rnacentral:rRNA from 1 species